ensembl:lncRNA
UGACUGACUGACUGACUACAGGUUAGUGACUGACUGACUGACUGACUACAGGUUAGUGACUGACUGACUACAGGUUAGUGACUGACUACAGGUUAGUGACUGACUGACUGACUACAGGUUAGUGACUGACUGACUGACUGACUACAGGUUAGUGACUGACUGACUGACUGACUACAGGUUAGUGACUGACUGACUGACUGACUACAGGUUAGUGACUGACUGACUGACUGACUACAGGUUAGUGACUGACUGACUACAGGUUAGUGACUGACUGACUGACUGACUACAGGUUAGUGACUGACUGACUACAGGUUAGUGACUGACUGACUGACUGACUACAGGUUAGUGACUGACUGACUGACUACAGGUUAGUGACUG